AACAUUUAUCAUGAUAUAAGGAAAUAUAAAUAACAACUUUAUUAUUGCCUCUAGGGCAUAUUUCCUUCAAUAUUGCGGACGUUGUGUCCACAUAACGGAUUUGUAAAAGCACUUGCAAAUUUGAGAUUAUUAUGUACAUUUCUAAGGACGUUGACAACAAUCUGACACUUGAAUUGAACAAUCAUCAUUUAUAUAAGCAUAUAGACUAUAACUAUCCAUCUGGACAGUAUUCACCCAUGUAACCAUGCAAACAAAAACUAUUGGUAGGACACAACACAUAGACUUGUCCUGUCAAAUCCAUGUCCACUUCUUGGUCUUCGUAAUCAAUAUCAUCCUCAACUUCCUGGUCUUCUUAAUCAAUAUCUUCCUUAACUUCUUGAUUCUCCACCUCUUCCUCCUCUUCUUCAACAUCACUAGGCAGGAUAUUUUCUUGUUCUUCCGGCUGUGGUUGUAGAAGAAGCCCCUGAUCCUGCUGAAGACAUUGUGCUAGUAGACUACUACUGCAAAAAAAGCAUAAGCUAUUUGACUGAAUUACAAGUGCAGAUAGCUAAUUUUUUAUUUAGAAAUUACCACUAAAUUGAAUGUGUCAAUAAAGUACAAAAGAAUUGCAAGUAAACUGAAUGUAGCCUGGUUGGCUGUACAAAAGAAAUUACAACUGAACUGAAUUUAUAAAGACAAUAUUGUGCAAGUUUCAUCUACUAUAUCAAGAGGAAUGCAAUCAUGAGGCACACCUAUAUACUAGUAGCAAAUAUGUACUGUACUAUUCUAUGAGCAGAGCUAUCGAAUGCAACGGGAAUCAUACAGGGAUGUAAGUUUCAUCUGUGUCAGUGCUGCCGAAGAUACUAUGGACUGUUAUAUGAGCUGAGCUCCCCCUAAUUUUGUCUACUUUACGCAAGUGGUACCUUGAGGAAUUUUGUCUGCUAACUACUCUACUAAGCUAUGCAUCGAAGAUACUAUGUCAGCAGGAGAAUUUUGUCUACUAACUGUAACUCUGUAAGUGCUAGUGCUGCCGAAGAUACUCCGGAGCACUAUACAUCGAUUACAGGUACCAUCGAAGAGACUAGCACUUGUCCAGAGUACUAUCUCAAGCAGAGUGCUAUGCAUCGACCAGUAUAUAUAAAGAAAAAGCAGAGAAAAACAGGUACCUUGAGGUGAUGAGCUGCCAGACUGAAGAUUGCGAGCUAGGGAGUGGAGCGACUGAUUGGGACGUGGGCCAGUAGGGGAUGGGACGAUGGGGGCAUUGAGCAGCGACCAGGGAGGAGAUGAGGGCGUUGAGCUUGAGCACCAACGUCCUAGUGAGGUACUGCCCGCCGAGGCGCCGACUCGCCGUGUCGGCCCGCACCGGCCCGUCGGCGGCCAGGGAAGGGCGUCCAACAGGAGCCAGGAGCCUGGCUUCGCCUCUUUGUCCGGCCUCCGCCGUUAGCCGCACCGCCGCUAGGGAAGUGUCAGCCGCCUGCCGCCCGCCGCCAGGAUAAGAGGAGUGGGUCAAACUAGGGUUGAUCGGUGGGAUGUGCGUCCCGAAUUUAUAUGUAGGAUAAUUUCUUCAGUUGUCUGCUAUGACCGCAGCCUACGCUACAGAAAGGCCCGCUAUUGCGCUCUGAUAGUCGAUAUAGCGGC
rnacentral:lncRNA from 1 species